rnacentral:rRNA from 1 species
CCUACGGGAGGCAGCAGUGGGGGAUAUUGCACAAUGGGGGGAACCCUGAUGCAGCGACGCCGCGUGGGUGAAGAAGCGCCUCGGCGCGUAAAGCCCUGUCAGCAGGGAAGAAAAUGACGGUACCUGAAGAAGAAGCCCCGGCUAACUACGUGCCAGCAGCCGCGGUAAUACGUAGGGGGCAAGCGUUAUCCGGAUUUACUGGGUGUAAAGGGGGCGCAGACGGCGAUGCAAGCCAGGAGUGAAAGCCCGGGGCCCAACCCAGGGACUGCUCUUGGAACUGCGUGGCUGGAGUGCAGGAGGGGCAGGGGGAAGUCUGGGGGUAGCGGGGAAAUGCGGAGAGAUCAGGAGGA